rnacentral:rRNA from 1 species
GACGAACGCUGGCGGCGUGCUUAACACAUGCAAGUCGAACGGAAAGGCCCUGCUUUUGUGGGGUGCUCGAGUGGCGAACGGGUGAGUAACACGUGAGUAACCUGCCCUUGACUUUGGGAUAACUUCAGGAAACUGGGGCUAAUACCGGAUAGGAGCUCCUGCUGCAUGGUGGGGGUUGGAAAGUUUCGGCGGUUGGGGAUGGACUCGCGGCUUAUCAGCUUGUUGGUGGGGUAGUGGCUUACCAAGGCUUUGACGGGUAGCCGGCCUGAGAGGGUGACCGGCCACAUUGGGACUGAGAUACGGCCCAGACUCCUACGGGAGGCAGCAGUGGGGAAUAUUGCACAAUGGGCGGAAGCCUGAUGCAGCAACGCCGCGUGCGGGAUGACGGCCUUCGGGUUGUAAACCGCUUUCGCCUGUGACGAAGCGUGAGUGACGGUAAUGGGUAAAGAAGCACCGGCUAACUACGUGCCAGCAGCCGCGGUGAUACGUAGGGUGCGAGCGUUGUCCGGAUUUAUUGGGCGUAAAGGGCUCGUAGGUGGUUGAUCGCGUCGGAAGUGUAAUCUUGGGGCUUAACCCUGAGCGUGCUUUCGAUACGGGUUGACUUGAGGAAGGUAGGGGAGAAUGGAAUUCCUGGUGGAGCGGUGGAAUGCGCAGAUAUCAGGAGGAACACCAGUGGCGAAGGCGGUUCUCUGGGCCUUUCCCGACGCUGAGGAGCGAAAGCGUGGGGAGCGAACAGGCUUAGAUACCCUGGUAGUCCACGCUGUAAACGGUGGGUACUAGGUGUGGGGUCCAUUCCACGGGUUCCGUGCCGUAGCUAACGCUUUAAGUACCCCGCCUGGGGAGUACGGCCGCAAGGCUAAAGCUCAAAGGAAUUGACGGGGCCCCGCACAAGCGGCGGAGCAUGCGGAUUAAUUCGAUGCAACGCGUAGAACCUUACCUGGGUUUGACAUGGAUCGGGAGUGCUCAGAGAUGGGUGUGCCUCUUUUGGGGUCGGUUCACAGGUGGUGCAUGGCUGUCGUCAGCUCGUGUCGUGAGAUGUUGGGUUAAGUCCCGCAACGAGCGCAACCCUUGUUCACUGUUGCCAGCACGUUAUGGUGGGGACUCAGUGGAGACCGCCGGGGUCAACUCGGAGGAAGGUGGGGAUGACGUCAAGUCAUCAUGCCCCUUAUGUCCAGGGCUUCACGCAUGCUACAAUGGCUGGUACAGAGAGUGGCGAGCCUGUGAGGGUGAGCGAAUCUCGGAAAGCCGGUCUCAGUUCGGAUUGGGGUCUGCAACUCGACCUCAUGAAGUCGGAGUCGCUAGUAAUCGCAGAUCAGCAACGCUGCGGUGAAUACGUUCCCGGG